UACAGAGGGUGCGAGCGUUGUUCGGAAUUAUUGGGCGUAAAGCGCUUGUAGGCGGCUUGUUAAGUUCCGUGUGAAAUCCCCAGGCUUAACCUGGGAAGUGCGCGGAAAACUGGCGAGCUUGAGUGCCGGAGAGGGUCGCGGAAUUCCCGGUGUAGAGGUGAAAUUCGUAGAUAUCGGGAGGAACACCAGUGGCGAAGGCGGCGACC
rnacentral:rRNA from 1 species